UACGUAGGGGGCUAGCGUUGUCCGGAAUUAUUGGGCGUAAAGAGCUCGUAGGCGGUUUGUCGCGUCUGCUGUGAAAACUCGGGGCUUAACCCCGGGCCUGCAGUGGGUACGGGCAGACUAGAGUGCGGUAGGGGAGACUGGAAUUCCUGGUGUAGCGGUGGAAUGCGCAGAUAUCAGGAAGAACACCGGUGGCGAAGGCGGCUCUCUGGGCCUUACCUGACGCUGAGGAGCGAAAGCGUGGGGAGCAAACAGG
rnacentral:rRNA from 1 species